rnacentral:rRNA from 1 species
UCGGGUUGAUCCUGCCAGUAGUCAUAUGCUUGUCUCAAAGAUUAAGCCAUGCAUGUCUCAGUACAAGCCAAAUUAAGGUGAAACCGCGAAAGGCUCAUUAAAUCAGUUAUGGUUCCUUAGAUCGUACCACAUUUACUUGGAUAACUGUGGUAAUUCUAGAGCUAAUACAUGCAAACAAGCUCCGACCGGAGACGGAAGGAGCGCUUUUAUUAGAUCAAAACCAAUCGGUGGCGGGCUUGCUCGUCAUCGUACAACUUGUGACUCUGAAUAACUUUAAGCUGAUCGCACGGUCUUGCACCGGCGACGCAUCUUUCAAAUGUCUGCCUUAUCAACUGUCCGGUGGUAGGUUCUUCGCCUACCAUGGUUGUAACGGGUAACGGGAACAGGUUUCGAUUUCCGGAGAGGGAGCCUGAGAAACGGCUACCACAUCCAAGGAAGGCAGCAGGGCCCGCCAAAUUAACCCACUCCCGGCACGGGGAGGUUUAGUGACGAAAAAUAACGAUACGGGACUCAUCCGAGGCCCCGUAAUCGGAAUGAGUACACUCUAAACCCUUUAACGAGGAUCAAUUGAGGGCAAGUCUGGUGCCAGCAGCCGCGGUAUUCCAGCUCCAAUAGCGUAUAUUAAAGUUGUUGCGGUUAAAAAGCUCGUAGUCGAAUCUGUGUCCCGCGCCGCCGUGUCAUCGUUCGCGGUGUUAACUGGCGUGUCGCGGGACGUCCUGCCGGUGGGCUUAGCACGCAAGGGCGGCCCAACUCAAUCCCGCCGCGGUGCUCUUCAUUGAGGCCGCGGUGCUCUUCAUUGAGUGUCGAGGUGGGCCGGCACGUUUACUUUGAACAAAUUAGAGUGCUUAAAGCAGGCUAAAACUUCGCUUGAAUACUGUGUGCAUGGAAUAAUGGAAUAGGACCUCGGGUUCUAUUUGUUGGUUUUCGAACCCCGAGGUAAUGAUUAAUUGGAACGGGGAUGGGGGCAUUUCGUAUUGCGACGUUAGAGUGAAAUUCUUGGAUCCGUCGCAAGACGGACAAGCGAAAGCAUUUGCCAAAAAACGCUUUUAUUGAUCAGGAACGAAAGUUAGAGGUUCGAAGGCGAUCAGAUACCGCCCUAGUUCUUAACCAUAAACGAUGCCAGGCUUUCAUUGAUCAAGAACGAAAGUUAGAGGUUCGAAGGCGAUCAGAUACCGCCCUAGUUCUAACCAUAAACGAUGCCAGCUGCGAUCCGUCGACGAAAGCAUUUGCCAAAAACGCUUUCAUUGAUCAAGAACGAAAGUUAGAGGUUCGAAGGCGAUCAGAUACCGCCCUAGUUAUAACCAUAAACGAUGCCAGCUAGCGAUCCGUCGACGUUCCUCCGAUGACUCGACGGGCAGCUUCCGGGAAACCAAAGCUUGACGUUCUCCGAUGACUCGACGGGCAGUUCCGGGCAACCAAAGCUUUUGGGUUCCCGGGGGAAGUAUGGUUGCAAAGCUGAAACUUAAAGGAAUUGACGGAAGGGCACCACCAAGGAGUGGAGCCUGCGGCUUAAUUUGACCCAACACGGGAAACCUCACCAGGCCCAGACGCCGGAAGGAUUGACAGAUUGAGAGCUCUUUCUUGAUUCGGUGGGUGGUGGUGCAUGGCCGUUUUUAGUUGGUGGAGCGAUUUGUCUGGUUAAUUCCGAAAACCAACCGAGACUCAGCCUGCUAACUAAGGCCUUAAUUCCGACUCCCAAAACCCGCCAGCGAGUUGCUUCGGCUUCUCGUUGUGCGCGGUUUUUACUGUCGGCGUACAAACAAUUCUUCUUAGAGGGACAGGCGGGCUGGUUAAUUCCGAUAACGAACGAGACUCUAGCCUGCUAACUAGGCGUAUUUCGACAUCCCAAAGGCCCGCCAACGAGAAGGGGUUGCCUUUCGGCUUCUCGUUGUCGGGCGUUUUUACUGUCGGCGUACAAACAAUUCUUCUUAGAGGGACAGGCGGCUUCUAGCCGCACGAGAUUGAGCAAAAACAGGGGGAUGUCGAAAUACGCCUAGUUAGCAGGCUAGAGUCUCGUUCGUUAUCGGAAUUAACCAGGCGUACAAACAAUU